GAUAAUAUUAGGUGUUCGUCUGGCGCUGCAUACUCUAGCUCUUCAGUUGAUAGAGAAACCAUUGAAAGACUACAAAAUACGGUUUCUUAACUCACUGAAGAGCUUACUAAACAGAGAGAGAGGCAGAAGAAGACGAAGAAGGCAACAACAUCACAAAUCAAGAUAUUGCAGUAGCAGUUCAGUUCUUUCAUUCAGACUGCAGGGGUCAUUCCUCCGUGUCUUGGUAAUGCAGUUCGAGCUACAAAAGGUCUAGGCCCCCUGGAUGAUUUCAGCAUGGAUGAUGAUAUGAAAGACGAGGACGAAUUUGAUAAUGAUGACUUUUAAUUUUUUUAUUUCUGUAUGUGUUGUAAUUUGAAUUUAGACAUUU
rnacentral:lncRNA from 1 species